UUCAUGCACACGACAGUGAAAGCCGGAGGCAGACUCCUGUAGAUUUGAGGGUGUCAGUAUCAUUCAAAAUUCCCUGACGUUUCUUUUACUCCAAACCCUGUGCAUAUUCGGAAAGACCUUCAAGUCAUCUUGGUCCUUCUUCCUGUCAAGGAGAGUGAACCUGAAUCUCAGAAGAAUAAAAUGUUUGGUGGAAGGGUAUGGUUGGCAUGUGCCAGCCAUCAGUAGAAACCUAUUUUAAGGACUGAUCCCUAAUCCCUGGUGGUCCACACACCUCUAGGUCAGACCGGACUUCUGCUGCUAGUGCACAUUGGAGCUGCUGGUGCUCAGCAAUUAUUCGACUUCUGUGAUGCUGGUGCUGAGAUCGGCAAACUCUAUUUCUGAGCAUUUCCUGCGGGAUAUCUUGAUGACCAUGCUGGCAGGCAAGGACAGUCGCUGUUUAAUUUCCAGCUCCUUUCAGUACCCCUGGACGAGCUGUUCUCCUGCUCUGAAGUUCAAGCUUUAGUCAGAUGAUUCUUCCUCUUUCUGGGCUCUCACUGCUACCCAAAUGUGAACUUCCUAUGCCCGGCAUCUCUCUGGCAGCCUCGCCAUUUCCCUCCUGUUCUCUCACUCUUGCUGGCGGUAGCGUCUUCCGGAAGUUACUCACACAUGCCUUUCUCGGCCUUUUGUCUGGACCACCUUCUGAUAACUGCACAGUAUGUUCUUUGCAUCAAGAGCCUUUCAUUUGAAACAACCAGCACAGUGUCUCAUCUCUGAACUCAACUUUAAGCAGAACUUAAAAACUUCCCUAGUUCUUACCGCUGUUUACCUUAUGAAUUGCUGCACAGCCACAAGAUAAGUAAUAUCUGAAAAAUCAGAUGAGGCAGAAACAUUCAUCGAGAGGUCCUUUGCUCAGGAUCUGCCCAGGUUCUGGAACAUGGUGACACGUAGCCAGGACCAGCAGGAGUCUGAAGGCUUCCACGGAGGACAGAUAAUGUCACCAUCUUGAACUGAGGACCAUUGUCAUCGGAGGCUUUUGAGGAGAGCAGUGAUACCUAUAGUUUUGAUUUGGGAACUGUCAUCAUAGCCACAGUAUAGAGAAUGACCUGGACAAAAGGUUGAGUGGACAUUGAUUGCUAUUAGAAACCACUUCUCUUAGAGACUUCAACAUGAAAACAUGGGUCAACUAUGCCUGGGAAGAGAUCUGGAUCGUGUGAGAAGCUUUAAUAAAGACUCUAAGAAGUCCCCAGUUAGGUGGUGUACUGUUAACAAGAGCGAAGUUUCGGCUGAUCCCUCAGUUACGCUUAGCAUGCUUAGCAAAUUCAACUGAAUGACGUGAACGAAGUAGUUGUGAGCCUAUGCUAUGAAAGCAGGGUCUCCAUCUACAGCAGUAGAAGGUACUGGACAAAGGCACCAUGACGACACAAUUCUUCGCAGACUUUAAAAGAACAAUACUUAACUUCAUAUGGAAAAACAAAAGCCAAGGAUGACUAAAACAAUCCUGUUUAAUAAAGGAACUUCUGGAGGUAUCACCAACAUCCCUGCCUUCAAGUUCUACUAUACAGCUAAUGUAAUGAAACAGUUUGGUCUCGGCAUAAAAACAGACAAGUGGAUCAAUGGAAUUGAAUUGAAGACCCUGACAUAAAUCCACACACUGAUAAACACCUGAUUUCUGACA